rnacentral:ncRNA from 2 species
UGCUUAUAAAGAAAGGCGGAGGGAUUAGACCCAACGAUGUCUUAGCAACCUGUGCUAACAAGGUGCUACAUUCUAUCCCAGCACAUCGGGAAAAGAUAAGUU